rnacentral:piRNA from 1 species
UGGCCUCUUCUGUUUUGCCACUUCUGUGGGU